rnacentral:rRNA from 1 species
CUGGCGGCGUGCCUAACACAUGCAAGUCGAACGAGAAAGCGGGGGCAACUCCGCGAGUAAAGUGGCGACCGGGUGAGUAACACGUGACUAACCUACCCUCGAGCGGGGGAUAACCCCGGGAAACCGGGGCUAAUACCGCAUAACAUCCUCGAUACGAAAGUCUUGAGGAUCAAAGGAGCAAUUCACUUGAGGAGGGGGUCGCGGCCGAUUAGCUAGUUGGUGGGGUAAUGGCCCACCAAGGCUGAGAUCGGUAGCCGGCCUGAGAGGGCGCACGGCCACACUGGAACUGAAACACGGUCCAGACUCCUACGGGAGGCAGCAGUGGGGAAUUUUGCGCAAUGGGGGGAACCCUGACGCAGCAACGCCGCGUGGAGGAUGAAGUCCCUUGGGACGUAAACUCCUUUCGACCGGGAAGAUAAUGACGGUACCGGAAGAAGAAGCACCGGCUAACUCUGUGCCAGCAGCCGCGGUAAUACAGAGGGUGCGAGCGUUGUUCGGAAUUAUUGGGCGUAAAGGGCGCGUANGCGGUGCGGUAAGUCACCUGUGAAAUCUCCUGGCUUAACUGGGAGCUUGCAGGCGAAACUGCCGUGCUGGAGUGUGGGAGAGGUGCGUGGAAUUCCCGGUGUA